ACACAUACUAAUUGUUUCUCCUUCUCCUUCUUCCUU
rnacentral:sRNA from 1 species